CGUUAUGUAACUCAGAAUAUCCAUUUUCCCGCAAGAUUUCCUUUCACAGAAAAUUGUACACACGUCGCAAUAUGAUUUAAUUAUCAAUACAGCGAUGUCAAAAUUUCAAAAUAUCAAAAGUUAUUUUUCAUGGAGGUAUUACUUUAUUUAAAACAAUUUUAUAGAUUGAAAAUAAACUGUUAUCAUCAUAUAUCAUAAUUAUGAAAUAUAAUUAAUAAUUUACCCAUUUUAAGAAACAUCAUUG